NNNCUUUGGCAGCACAUAUAUUAAAACUGUAAUGAUACAGAGGAGAUUAGUAUGAUCCAAGCACAGAAAUGACAUACAAAUUGGUGAAGUGUUCUGUAUAAAC
rnacentral:snRNA from 1 species